AGAGGGGCUUGCUUCUCUUGAGAGCGGCGGACGGGUGAGUAAUGCCUAGGAAUCUGCCUAGUGGUGGGGGAUAACGUUCGGAAACGGACGCUAAUACCGCAUACGUCCUACGGGAGAAAGCGGGGGACCUUCGGGCCUCGCGCCAUUAGAUGAGCCUAGGUCGGAUUAGCUAGUUGGUGAGGUAAAGGCUCACCAAGGCGACGAUCCGUAACUGGUCUGAGAGGAUGAUCAGUCACACUGGAACUGAGACACGGUCCAGACUCCUACGGGAGGCAGCAGUGGGGAAUAUUGGACAAUGGGGGAAACCCUGAUCCAGCCAUGCCGCGUGUGUGAAGAAGGUCUUCGGAUUGUAAAGCACUUUAAGUUGGGAGGAAGGGUAGUAACUUAAUACGUUGCUACUUUGACGUUAUCGACAGAAUAAGCACCGGCUAACUCUGUGCCAGCAGCCGCGGUAAUACAGAGGGUGCAAGCGUUAAUCGGAAUUACUGGGCGUAAAGCGCGCGUAGGUGGUUUGUUAAGUUGGAUGUGAAAGCCCCGGGCUCAACCUGGGAACUGCAUCCAAAACUGGCAAGCUAGAGUACGGUAGAGGGUGGUGGAAUUUCCUGUGUAGCGGUGAAAUGCGUAGAUAUAGGAAGGUACACCAGUGGCGAAGGCGACCACCUGGACUGAUACUGACACCGAGGUGCGAAGGCGUGGGGAGCAAACAGGAUUAGAUACCCUGGUAGUCCACGCCGUAACGAUGUCAACUAGCCGUUGGGUUCCUUGAGAACUUAGUGGCGCAGCUAACGCAUUAAGUUGACCGCCUGGGGGAGUACGGCCGCAAGGUUAAAACUCAAAUGAAUUGACGGGGGCCCGCACAAGCGGUGGAGCAUGUGGUUUAAUUCGAAGCAACGCGAAGAACCUUACCUGGUCUUGACAUGCU
rnacentral:rRNA from 1 species